rnacentral:rRNA from 1 species
GACGAACGCUGGCGGCGUGCCUAAUACAUGCAAGUAGAACGCUGAAGGAGGAGCUUGCUUCUCUGGAUGAGUUGCGAACGGGUGAGUAACGCGUAGGUAACCUGCCUGGUAGCGGGGGAUAACUAUUGGAAACGAUAGCUAAUACCGCAUAAGAGUAGAUGUUGCAUGACAUUUGCUUAAAAGGUGCAAUUGCAUCACUACCAGAUGGACCUGCGUUGUAUUAGCUAGUUGGUGGGGUAACGGCUUACCAAGGCGACGAUACAUAGCCGACCUGAGAGGGUGAUCGGCCACACUGGGACUGAGACACGGCCCAGACUCCUACGGGAGGCAGCAGUAGGGAAUCUUCGGCAAUGGACGGAAGUCUGACCGAGCAACGCCGCGUGAGUGAAGAAGGUUGUCGGAUCGUAAAGCUCUGUUGUAAGAGAAGAACGAGUGUGAGAGUGGAAAGUUCACACUGUGACGGUAUCUUACCAGAAAGGGACGGCUAACUACGUG